AGUGAACGCUGGCGGUAGGCCUAACACAUGCAAGUCGAACGGCAGCACAGUAAGAGCUUGCUCUUACGGGUGGCGAGUGGCGGACGGGUGAGGAAUACAUCGGAAUCUACUUUUUCGUGGGGGAUAACGUAGGGAAACUUACGCUAAUACCGCAUACGACCUACGGGUGAAAGCAGUGGAUCUUCUGACCUUGCGCGAUUGAAUGAGCCGAUGUCGGAUUGGCUAGUUGGCGGGGUAAAGGCCCACCAAGGCGACGAUCCGUAGCUGGUCUGGGAGGAUGGUCAGCGACACUGGAACUGGGACACGGUCCAGACUCCUACGGGAGGCAGCAGUGGGGAAUAUUGGACAGUGGUCGCAAGCCUGAUCCAGCCAUCCCGCGUGGGUGAAGAAGGCCUUCGGGUUGUAAAGCCCUUUUGUUGGGAAAGAAAAGCAGCAGGUUAAUACCCCGCUGUUCUGACGGUACCCAAAGAAUAAGCACCGGCUAACUUCGUG
rnacentral:rRNA from 1 species